rnacentral:rRNA from 1 species
GAUGAACGCUAGCGGCAGGCCUAAUACAUGCAAGUCGAGGGGUAGUGGAGCUUGCUCCAUGAGACCGGCGCACAGGUGCGUAACGCGUAUGCAACCUACCUUGAUCUGGGGGAUAGCCCGAAGAAAUUCGGAUUAACACCGCAUAAAAUCACAGUACCGCAUGGUACAAUGAUCAAAUAUUUAUAGGAUUGAGAUGGGCA